rnacentral:tRNA from 1 species
GGAUUGGUGGUUCAAUGGCCACCGCUUCUGCUCCAUAAGCAGAAGGUCAUGGGUUCAAUCCCAGGCCAGUCCU